rnacentral:rRNA from 1 species
UACGGAGGUGGCGAGCGUUACUCGGAUUCAUUGGGUGUAAAGGGCAGGUAGGUGGCCUUGUAAGUGAGGGGUGAAAUCCUCCAACUUAAUUGGAGAAUGGCCUUUCAUACUGUGAGGCUUGAGACUGGAAGAGGAGAAUGGAAUUCCCGGUGUAAGGGUGAAAUCUGCAGAUAUCGGGAGGAACACCAGUGGCGAAAGCGAUUCUCCAGCUCAGUUCUGACACUGAUCUGCGAAAGCUAGGGGAGCAAACAGG